UUUUUUUUUUUUUUUGCCUUUUUUUAUAGUGCUGCACCCAUGGCACAUGGAGGUUCCCAGGCUAGGGGUUGAAUCCGAGGUACAGCUGCCAGCCUACACCACAGCCACGGCAACAUCAGAUCCCAGUCGCAUCUACACCGCAGCUCACGGCAACACCAGAUCCUUAACCCACUGAGCAAGGAUCCCGUGUUGCCGUGAGCUGUGGUGUAGGCCGGCAGCUGCAGCUCCUUAGAAAGAAAAAAAAAAGACAUCAAAUUCUCGGCUAAUUAGGCUGUGACAUAAAGGUGAUGAACAGGUGCCAGCUGCAACUGCAGAAGGUUCUGGGGUGUCACUGGGCAGCCAGGACCAGCCCGGGGCUGUGGUCCCACCUCCUGCCACCCUGCAGGGUGGGCCCCGUGCGAUUGCACCUGGUGCCCAGCCAGCCAUCAACCGAGGCCGACUUAGCUCAGCUUGCCUUCAUGUUCCCACUCGUCCCUCAUGUCAGGCCAGCGCUGGGGUCAGACAGACGAAGUUACUGCACCAGGGGCCCACACUUAAGAAGGCCCGUCCACAUUCUGAUGGGCGACCUGGUCACUAACUGUUCAGCCCCCACGGGCUUCCAGAAGGAUCGGCCACGGUGGCAGCCCCACGCCCAGCCCAGCUAGUCCAGCUGAGCCAAGCAUCAGGAAGACACUUUAUCACGCCUGUGGACACAUUUGGGCAAAAUAAACCCAUUUCACUUUCUUUUAUUUUUCGAAGUCAUUACGAGAAAAUUUAGAAUUUCCUGAGUGGUUGGCAUUGCAUCUUACUGGACGGUGCCAUUCUGGGCUCUCUUUCAUUGGAGGGAAGUGGCCGCCAGCUAGGCAGACCUGGGUCCUGUCCCCACCCAGUGUUUCCAUUCUGCUCUGUCCUUGUCACCCCCUCCCCCACUUGUCCAUGCUCAGGAGCGGAGUCCGAACCAUGUGCUGGGGGCCGGGCCAGGGCCGGGGGACUCAGUCUUUGUGGUCGGAGCUCACCUGGCAGAGAAGGCACCACGGAGGCAGUGAUGGCGGGGGCGGGGCUUGGUGGCCGCAGUGGCGGUGAGCAGCCUGGGGCACGGAGACGCCCGUUUCUCCCGGGCCCUGGUCAGGCCAGCCUGGGCCUUGCAGGGGGGCUCCCGUUCCUCGUGCUGCAUCUGCGGUUGAGGCCCGUCUGCACGGAGCCCUCGCCCGCCGCCGAGGCUCCUGAGUCCACCUCCGGCCCAGUCCUGAGGCCUCUCCCCGGCUCCUGUCCCUCACCGUGCGCCUGGCACCAAGGUGACCAAACACCCUCAUGGGAGCACCCUGAGCGGGCAGUGGCUGCGCUGGCACACACACCUCCCAGGCGUCCCGUCUGUAUGCGGAGGCAGCGGCCGGCCAGCGUCACCAAGAGCCAGCCCGGGGGUGCCGGGGCCGCCCAAGCGCAAAGGGAGUCUGCGACGCCCGGGAGGCUGAGCAUCCGUCAGAGCCACAGCCCAGGAGACCAGCCGCUCCAUCCAGCAGCCUGAGCGGGGUGGGGCCCGGGGACACUGCGGGACACAGACGUGACGCCCAGGACACGUGAGCGCACAGGGAGUGGGUGCUGGGACGACAAAUGCGGUCCUUGUCAGCGCUUCUGAACCCACAACACACGCACGUAAAUACAUACAAAGUUUAUUAAAAAUAGGCUGCGAAUGAAAUACAGUAGAAAUGGAAACUACAGCAGUUUGAUGUCCUCUCCCCAGGAACGCAGUCAAGAAAAGCACUCUCACACAUUUUCACAUCUGGCCCCUCGUCCGAGGACGGCCGAAUCCACGUGUUACAGGUUUACCACCACACAUACAAAUAUCCCUGCACGUAGGUAUUUACAUGUAUUUGCAUGUACUCAGGUGUGUUUGUUGUUUUUCUAUGUAUUAACAGAAACAUCGUUCGCCUGCGGCUUCUUCUUCAAAGAAAGUGUGGAUUUAGUCCUCCAAGGCUGCGGGGUUGCCGAGAACUCGGGAGGGCCCGCUCUGCCUGGCACUUCGGGAGCAAGCAUGCAAUCCUUCAUGAGCACGUGGCGCCGUCUCACUCCCCUGCGUGGCGUGGGCACAGCACACUUCCAAAGCAGAGCCCCGACAGACACGGCCGUUACUUACACUCGUGCCCUCACGAGUUCUCACACAGCGCUCAGGCAAGUGACUUCCGGGGCUGGAGAGCCUCUGCGUCUCUGCUGGAAAGUGUGCCCGCGUGGGAGAGAAUGACAUGGCACAGACAACCAUCCAGGGCCACAGCGCGCACAUCAGAUGGACAAUUGGCCCGUGGGCACAAGGUCAUUUAGUGUCGGAACAUCGCGUGUCAGAGAACAGAGCGAGGCGCGGCUCCCUGACAGCAGCCCCGUGUUCACAGCGGAAGAAGUGACAGUGGUAACUAAUGAUCAGUACAUGAAAAUUAAAUAACUCUAUCAGAAUGUAGAAAAAUAGCCGGAACCGCCACACGAGUUACUCUUACAGCAUUUAAGUGACAGGCGCCCUGUGCCACCACACCCUUCCUCUCCCUGGCGCCCUGACAGCAGAGCCUGGAAACCGAGGGUUCGCGUUUUGCAUCUCUGAGCAGGGCUGUGCUCCAUGUCGCCUCCGAAGCGCCCAGUCUUCUCAGGUGUUUCUGUUCCUAAUCACGUCCACGCCACUGUUCAGCUCAGGACAGACUCCCUCGGAACACUUGGAACAGCUCGUGCACUAACUGGACUGUCGUCUUCCAAGCCCCCAAGGCUUUGCUGGUGUAACAGCCAUCUGGUAUUUAUAAACCUAAAAUCUCCCAGGCUGGAACCCUAACAUUUUCUGGGAGAAGCUUUUCCAAUCGGACGCUCAGAGCUACCCCGGGGGCUGCCCUGUUGGGACAGGAGGGAGCAGCGUCCCUUUGGGAGCUUGGUGCUGAGCUCGGGGCGGGUCUCCUACAGACAAGCGCCCUCCUGGCGGAGAAGACCUGACGCUCCCGACGCACGCACGCACGCACAUCUGGGAGGCUUUGCUGUUCGAGAGCCGAACCGGGUUUUUGAAGAACAGAGAGGGCGACUUUGUGCUGCGUGGCGGGGAGGGGCGGACUCCC
ensembl:lncRNA